rnacentral:rRNA from 1 species
AUUGAACGCUGGCGGCAGGCCUAACACAUGCAAGUCGAGCGGAUGAAGGGAGCUUGCUCCUUGAUUCAGCGGCGGACGGGUGAGUAAUGCCUAGGAAUCUGCCUGGUAGUGGGGGAUAACGUUCCGAAAGGAACGCUAAUACCGCAUACGUCCUACGGGAAAAAGCAGGGGACCUUCGGGCCUUGCGCUAUCAGAUGAGCCUAGGUUGGAUUAGCUAGUUGGUGAGGUAAUGGCUCACCAAGGCUACGAUCCGUACCUGGUCUGAGAGGAUGAUCAGUCACACUGGAACUGAGACACGGUCCAGACUCCUACGGGAGGCAGCAGCGGGGAAUAUUGGACAAUGGGCGAAAGCCUGAUCCAGCCAUGCCGCGUGUGUGAAGAAGGUCUUCGGAUUGUAAAGCACUUUAAGUUGGGAGGAAGGGCAGUAAGUUAAUACCUUGCUGUUUUGACGUUACCAACAGAAUAAGCACCGGCUAACUUCGUGCCAGCCGCCGCAGUAAUAC